AACGCACCUUGCGCUCCUUGGUAUUCCGAGGAGCAUGCCUGUUUGAGUGUCAGUAUAUUCUCAACCCCUCCAGCUUUUGUGGGCUGGCUUUGGUGGCUUGGAUGUGGAGGUCUGCAGGUCCCCUGUCAAGGUGGUCUGCUCCUCUGAAAUGCAUUAGCAGAACCGUUUGCAAUUUGUUGACUGGUGUGAUAAUUAUCUAUGCCGGUGAAUUGCUCUCCGCUCGUUCAGCUUCUAACAGUUUCCCUCUGAGGAGACAGUUUGUAUGAACCUUUGACCUCAAAUCAGGUAGGACUACCCGCUGAACUUAA
rnacentral:misc_RNA from 1 species